rnacentral:tRNA from 1 species
ACUCUGAUGGCCGAGGAAAAGGCAAUAGACUGUAGAUCUAUUUACGAGACCUAUACUCUCAGAGAA